ensembl:lncRNA
AAGUUUUCGAUGACCGCAGGGAAUGUGUUACUGAGGGUUCCUGGGCCGGCACCACCCACCAGGGCCAGCCGGUGAGUGACGUCAGGCUCGGGACACAGGUGUCCCCCCAACCCCAGAGGGAGGGGCCGAGGCGUCAGCUGACCCCUCACGGGUGGGGGAGCACUGGGGAAAUUUUGCUCCAGGUUUCGCCUUAAAUCUGGUUGGUGACUGACUUCUGCUGUGACUAAUCACAGAGGGAGGGAGGAGCUGAGUUGCGCGGGCGAAGCGGGGUUUCUAGCCCUGCUUUGGGCUGACCCUGGACAGGUUCAGGGCCCUGCACCUGCAGUUACUGCUUGGCUGCAUGGUGGCACCAUUUGAGAACUUCCUUAGGGGACACUUUCAGCCUGCGACGGGAAUAAUGUCCCUGAACCAGACGUAAAGACCUGGACAGCGGCGCGAUCUGCGGCUCAGAGGAUCAAGUGCACCUGGGAGAGGUUCUGGAUCACGGAGACUGCAAGGGAACCCGUAAUGGGUCACUACCCUAGGCGCAGAAACCCGCAGCAUGGCAAGGAGACGAUGCUGCUGGAAGAAAAGAAUCAAAUUCCUUUCCACCCAAAAUAUGACAGCACCUGUGGUCCAGGGCUGGAGACCAUAGUGGAUGCCCAGCAGCCAACUUCCUAGGAUUAUGGCGUCCCCAGCAGGCCUGGAGAUGAAAAGAGAAACUAGGCUCCAAAGGGGACACCAGUGCUAUGUUGGGGAGAGAGGAGCACACCAUGGCACCCCACUCUGAAGAAUGGGAGUGAGAAGAGAGGACAGGUGAACCCGACACAGCUCCAGUGAGAUGGGAGGGGGGAAUGCCCAGGAAGGAGAACAGCCAGGGGGCAGCCCCAGCCAAAGCCACCAGACAUCAUUACAUGUCUGGGGCCUUCUCAGGUCGACGUGGAUUUUACCGCUCCACACACUCUUGUGUUAAGGGCUAACUGUCAGUAGAUCAGUGAGAGAGCAACUUUGAUACAGAGGAAACCAUGGCCUGAAAUGGGUCAGCCCAGAAGAAUUUAGUAGUAGGUUCUAUGCUUCCCUCCAGAGCCUCAUGGACGUAGGCAACUUUUUUUUUUUCCAACCACACACCCUAGGUAAUGAAGAAAGCUCUCUGAACUGUGUCCUUGCUGGGCACACAGACCCCUGCUACAUGCACAUGGUAUAGGAGUCAUGGCUGAGGCAGAGUGAGACUCCUAUCUGAGGCCAGGAAAAGCUAAUGACCCCACAUUUGGUUCAGUCCUUGCGGGGUCCUGACUGGGGUGUGUGCCGCUGUGUUCCCACAGAUGCUUUGUUAGCCCUUUGGCUCUAAGAUAAACAGGCAGAUGUUAUAUUGAAGCCUUUGUUUCUCUUACACGGAGGCAACACUACUGCAGCAGAGCAAACCUUAUUGUAUCAGUGCAUCAACCCCAAGUUCACGUUGAUUACAGUAGGAAAAACUAACACGCGGUGAAUUCUGCCUCCACAAGGCACAAAGACCUUGAUCAGGCAACAAUGACCAGGAUGGCCUCAUAUCCAUGUCUUCUUGCAACUCAAGCUUUGCCUGGUCACCACCUCCUUGCCCCGACUCCUUGAACUUCAGCCCUCCAAGGACAGCCAGACAUAUGAAGGAAGACAGCCAGGCACAGAAGGCAGGCUGCAUAAUUGCUGGCCCCUGAGCACCUGGAGAGGUUCUCAGGUCCUGGCUGGCAUGGAGUUGCUACUUCCAUAUUGGAGAAGGUCCGUGAGUCGGGCCAGACCCCAUGUCACACUCUGAGAUGACCUUAGUGAUCAACCUGCAGGUAUUUCUACAGAUUUCUUCUCAGGACAAUUACUUUUUUUAGACAAGUUUCUCUUCCUUCUCAAGGUUCAGCCAUGACUGUUGGUGACCAAACAAACGUUCACAAAUGGCAGUGAUCUUUUCAAUGCCAGCUUAUGAAUCCACACCUCACCACCUCCAGAGGUGGGAAAAGGCACCUCAAUCCAUGAUCCAAUAGUUCUUCCUGCCCUUAACCUCCUCACACACAUUUGGACACUCGGAGAGUGUGGAGGGCACCCAGGGUGCAUGGUGGCAGUGGAGGCCUUGGGAAAACUGGCCAGGAAGCCAAGGAAUGCACCUCAGGUGACUAAAUUUUUUUAUACUUCUGCACUUGCUGGAGAAUGACCCCAAAAUAGUUUUAAAGAUAAAUUCUUUGACUA